UGGACGCAUCACUGGUGUUCGGGUUGUCAUGCCAAUGGCACUGCCCGGUAGCUAAAUGCGGAAGAGAUAAGUGCUGAAAGCAUCUAAGCACGAAACUUGCCCCGAGAUGAGUUCUCCCUGAGACUAUAAGUCUCCUGAAGGAACGUUAAAGACGAUGACGUUGAUAGGCCGGGUGUGUAAGCGCAGCGAUGCGUUGAGCUAACCGGUACUAAUGAACCGUGAGGCUUAACCUUACAACGCCGAAG
rnacentral:rRNA from 1 species